rnacentral:rRNA from 1 species
UACGUAGGGGGCAAGCGUUGUCCGGAUUUACUGGGCGUAAAGAGCGCGCAGGCGGUCGUUCAAGUCGCGUGUGAAAGCCCCCGGCUCAACUGGGGAGGGUCACGCGAUACUGUUAGACUCGAAGGCAGGAGAGGGUAGUGGAAUUCCCGGUGUAGUGGUGAAAUGCGUAGAUAUCGGGAGGAACACCAAUGGCGAAGGCAGCUUGCUGGGACGGUACUGACGCUGAGACGCGAAAGCGUGGGGAGCAAACAGG